CCUGACCGAGCGACGCCGCGUGCGGGAUGAAGGCCUUCGGGUUGUAAACCGCUGUCGGAGGGGAUGAAAUGCAGUGGGGUUCUCCCCAUUGUUUGACAGAGCCUCGGAGGAAGCACGGGCUAAGUUCGUGCCAGCAGCCGCGGUAAUACGAACUGUGCGAACGUUAUUCGGAAUCACUGGGCUUAAAGGGUGCGUAGGCGGCUCGCCAAGUCAGGUGUGAAAUCCCCCGGCUCAACCGGGGAAUAGCGCUUGAAACUAGCGGGCUGGAGUGAGGCAGGGGGUAUGUGGAACUUCCGGUGGAGCGGUGAAAUGUGUAGAUAUCGGAAGGAACGCCGGUGGCGAAAGCGGCAUACUGGGCCUUGUCUGACGCUGAGGCACGAAAGCCAGGGGAGUGAACGGGAUUAGAUACCCCGGUAAUCCUGGCCGUAAACACUGAGCACUGGAGGGGAGGGGUUUCGGCCUUUUCCCUCGCAGCGAAAGCGUUAAGUGCUCCGCCUGGGGAGUAUGGUCGCAAGGCUG
rnacentral:rRNA from 1 species